rnacentral:rRNA from 1 species
AUUGAACGCUGGCGGCAUGCCUUACACAUGCAAGUCGAACGGUAACAGGUCUUCGGAUGCUGACGAGUGGCGAACGGGUGAGUAAUACAUCGGAACGUACCCGAUCGUGGGGGAUAACGAAGCGAAAGCUUUGCUAAUACCGCAUAAGAUCUACGGAUGACAGCAGGGGACCGCACAGCCUUGCGCGAACGGAGCGGCCGAUGGCAGAGUAGGUAGUUGGUGGGAUAAAAGCUUACCAAGCCGACGAUCUGUAGCUGGUCUGAGAGGACGACCAGCCACACUGGGACUGAGACACGGCCCAGACUCCUACGGGAGGCAGCAGUGGGGAAUUUUGGACAAUGGGCGAAAGCCUGAUCCAGCCAUGCCGCGUGCAGGAUGAAGGCCUUCGGGUUGUAAACUGCUUUUGUACGGAACGAAAAGACUCUUUCUAAUAAAGAGGGUCCAUGACGGUACCGUAAGAAUAAGCACCGGCUAACUACGUGCCAGCCGCCGCAGUAA